UAGGCAUGCUUGGUUGUUAUCCAUUCAUUUUAAUGCAUAUGCGCAUGUGCAGUAUGCUAAACUAGCUUUUGAAGGGGACAACGAACCAGAAAGAAGCUUUACAUUAUUGUGUAUACACAAAAUAGACAAAUAGAAGCAUUACAAGUACAUGUAGCUGGAUUGAUUAUGGGGCAAUGUAUUAAAAAUGUGCAUGUCUGUGUGAAUGCAUACUGAAAUUUAUAGGAUCUACAUGUAAUAUCUCAAUAAAAAACAAUUCUUAACCUUUAUUAUUCUCUGAUAGGUGUUGUUGUCCAUGGUCUAAUGCUUGUAGGGUAAGGACUGCACAAGAAGAGGACACUGUAGCCAUUGUUGGUAUAAAGAAUGAGAACAAAGAUGAUACGAGUGAUGAGGCUGAAGAUGAUGAGAAUGAGUCACUGAUAAAAGAUACAGAUGUCCUUGAGUCUAGUCUGUCAGCUAAAUUUGACAAAUAAUGGAUCAAGCAACCUUUGUAUCAUUUUGUGUACUACAUGUAAUAGCAUUAAUUGUUAGAUUUUUAUGAUAGACAGAUUUUAUUAUUUUGCUAUUAUUUUUAAAAAUUUAUGCAUGCAGCAGGUUGUACAAUGUAA